GUGCAGCCUAUGGAUCCAAUGCUGUUUUUUUCAUGGAAAGAGAUGACCCCUCUAACGUACCAACAAGCGUGUCGUCAAAGCCAAAGGAGACUAAAAGCGUCAGCAGAUGCUGGCCGGCUUGAGAUCAACCUAGCAGUGAAAGGAGGAUGCAGGCAAGAAGCACAAGAGAUUAAUCAGGUGGGGAAGAAAGCAACAUGACAGGAAUCAAUGCUAGCUAACUAAAAAUCUGAUCUGCCAGACAAGCAAAGGAGAUUUCUUGCUGCUUUUGUUUAUGGAGGAGGGACGACUAGCUAGAUAGGAUGUACAGCAGAGAUGCUUCUAGCUAGAGGUACCACCCCAAUGUGUCUGUGUGUGCCCUCUGGCUGCUACUGUUCUGGGUUUAUGUUUCUGCAUGUACAGUGCUAGUGCAUGAGAAGAAAAUGAGGUUACUUAAUCAAGGGGAAAAGGGUUUUCAAAAAGGAAGUGUGGUCGCUUGCUCCACAUCCCAUGCAGGG